CAUCAGUAGACUUCUGGAUACUACAUAUGGUAAGAGAAAGAGUAACAGGAAGCCCACUUUGCUAACAUGUAAAUUCAUUUUUACUUAAAAGAGAUUAGACAAAACAAUUUCAAUGUUUUAACCAGAGAUCUAAGCCUACCAGCAUCCCCUACAGCUGCUCCUUAGCAUCCUCCGACGACAUUCAAGUAUACUCAAUGAAAGCUUUUGUGUAUGACUAUAGCGAAGCCAAAACUAAAAACCAUUUCCAAAGGACCUAAUUUUUUUAAAUGAUAGCAGUAUUUCUGUUUCAGAGUUUUUCCUCCCUCGGCAGUCUUUCAUUUAGAACUGCCACAGGUGGUGACAAGAGUCAAGAGAUGAGAGUGGGUGGAGUGUCUAUUUCCAUAUCUGAAAAUAAAAGUUCAUUUCACUAAAGAAAUGGUGAAUCUUUAAUUCAUGCUAUUCUAAUAGAUUUUUUUUUUAGUUUCACAAGGGGGUUUAUUUUUUGCUUUUGAUUUUUGUUGGUAUUUUAUUUUCUAACUCAAGUUCAGCCACUGGCAGUAACUUCACUUUAAUUACAGAUGCAGUAACAGUAAGUCUGCACUGCUGGGGCAUGGAUUAAAUUAACUCACUUAAAUUUAUAUCAGCCUUCACAUCUCUAUCAUUCCCCAGAACCUUUAAUAACAAUAUAAUUAACAAGUAAAUAUUAAAUGUCAGGCUAUAGUCACAGAACAAUAACAACAAAUCAUUUUUCAGAGUUCAGUGCUCAUGGUUUUGGAUACCAGAAUUAAUUCCUACUUCCUUGAUUCACAACAUUGCUAACAGCCAGAUUUAUUUUUUGUAAAAUGAAUUAGAGCAUAUAGGUUUAAACGUAAGCCUAACAGAACUGCGACAUGUUUCAAACCAGUGGAGGAAAAAUAAUGAAAAUUUUAAUCUGCAUAAUAAAUAGGGGGAAAGCAACAAAAAAGAAAAAGCAUUAGUAUAUAGUUUUUUAAAAAAGCAAAAGUAAAUAAAAAAUGGAGGUAAAAUCCUGAGGAGAUAUAUCUCAAUAUAACAGCCAUCACAGUCAAUGUAACUGUUCUAUACAAAAAUCACCAGCUAAUGGAUCAAUUCUCAGUUGGAUUUAUUUUUUAAUUCCAGCAAUAUGCUAUUUAAACAGAGACCCAUUUACAAUAUAGUGGCCCUGGUCUACUAUGGCAGUACAGCAAACACUGACUUAGUAAAUACUGAUAUUUUAGCAAUCACAUUCAUUUGUCUUUUUUGACACCAACAGCUGCUUAGCUGCUUUAGUUUCUCUUAAUCCCAGAGUGGGGAGGGGGGAGCUCAAAGAUGGUGACAACUUUCUCCAGAAAAUGAGGCACAGAGAAACAAAAUGUAACUUUAAUGAAUGGCUGCUUUGUUAAGGUAUAAAGCCUGAGGCUGUUUUUUGUCACUUAACAUGUAACCUCUUUCUUCUGCCUUAGUAUGUAUCCUCCCAAGAGGUUUAAGAAAGGAUCUGUCCAAAGAACAGGCAGCAAAUAAUUUUACAUGUGCUACUGGGAAUUGUGAAAACAUGCUACUUCUAGGUGCUAACGUGCCCAAAGAGAGGGCCAAAUAAUUGAAUCUGUAUCUGACUGUCAUUAAAAACUAGAAGAAUAGCCUAUCCAUCCAACUCAUUUUAUAAAGAAGGAGUUGGAGGUUCUGGUGUUCAAGCUUGCACAACAACUAGGAGGGUGACAAAGGCAUGAUAGUUUUUCUAUAAAACUAUGGAGCUAAUGGUGACAGACUCAAUAGUGAAUUCAUGGGACACCAUAAGAUGAGAGCAUUUAUCUCGCACUGUGGUUUCAAUGCAUUUGCUCAGAAGGGCCACCUCUAUUUUCCAGUAAGCAGCCUUGCAAAAUAUUUGAAGACCUAAUAUUAUGCACACAUUAAUGUUUCCCCUCUCUGAGGUGUACCAUGCUCACUACUCGGGGCAACAGGCCAGGCACAUUACCAAAAAAAUCACCUCACUAUGGAGACUACAACAUUCCACUCUCAGCACGCUAGAACUACUAGAUAGAAAAUUAGCAGAGACAGGGGAAUGCACAACAUUCCAACCAACAAAAUCUGAUUGACAUUAAUAGAACACACCCUCCAACAACAGCGGCAUACACAUCCUUAUCAAGUGCCCGUGGAAUAUUCACCAAGACACAUCAUAUUCUGGGCCAUAAAACAAAUCUCAAUUGGUUUAAAAGAACUGAAAUUACACAGGGUAUAUUCUCUGACAAUAAGGGUAUCACACUAGAAAUCAAUAGCUGAAAGACAGUAAAAAAAAUCUUCUCAUCGUAACCAUCCCAACAUACUUUAGGGAAAAGUAUUCUAACACAUAUUUUACAUUUAAUUAAAAUUGAGAUGCAUACCUACGUAAAGUCAUAAGCACUAAGUGUUAAGGCCAAAAUUUUGAUUCAAGAAUAUCUGACUCCAACCUCUACAGUUUCCACAAAACCGUGUUACCUCUCAACAAGCAGAGCUUCCAAUCCAGUGGUUGCCAAACUUGAUUACAUUCUCCUCUAUUUCUUUCUUUUUUUUUAAGCCGGUACUCCAAAUGUUUCUAUUCAUGUAUUAUCACCCAAUUAUGUAAGUCAACAUACAAGAAACAGAUAUUCUGAAAAGAGGUUCAUCUAAAUAAACAUGAAUGGAAGCCCUAAUGUUUUCAUCAUGUAACAUAGUGAUAAUGAUGGACACCCCUUUAAGUCUGAACUAUAUCUAAUGAAAUAAUCAGUAAAUCCUGAGAGUAAACUUAUUUUUGAGUUUUAGCAUCAGUUUCUAACUUGGAUUCAAGAGGACAUGUAAAUAAAAUAAUCUGUGUUGAAAGAACUAAGAAGGCAUAUGGAGGUUCCCAGGCUAGGGGUCAAAUCAGAGCUGUAGCCACUGGCCUACACCCCAGCCACAGCAAUGCCAGAUCUGAGCCACGCCUGCGACCUACACCACAGCUCAUGGCAAUGCCAGAUCCUUAACCCACUGAGCGAGGCCAGGGAUCAAA
ensembl:lncRNA